CAAAAACAUCGCCUCCCGCAAAAAUCAACAUAUGAGAGGUCUUGCCUGCCCAGUGACUAUAAGUUAAACGGCCGCGGUAUUUUGACCGUGCAAAGGUAGCGCAAUCACUUGUCUUUUAAAUGAAGACCUGUAUGAAUGGUGGAACGAGGGCUUAACUGUCUCCCUCCUCUAGUCAAUGAAAUUGAUCUACCCGUGCAGAAGCGGGUAUAAUAAUAUAAGACGAGAAGACCCUUUGGAGCUUAAGAUAAAAGACCAACUACAUCAAAAGUCCUAAAAAACUAAAUCAAGUAAUACUGGUCCUAAUCUUCGGUUGGGGCGACCGCGGGAGAAAGCAAAGCUCCCAUGCGGACUGGGAUUAUCCCUAAAGCUAAGAGAGACAUCUCUAAGACUCAGAACAUCUGACCAAGAGAUCCGGCGACACGCCGACCAACGGACCAAGUUACCCUAGGGAUAACAGCGCAAUCCCCUUCCAGAGUCCAUAUCGACAAGGGGGUUUACGACCUCGAUGUUGGAUCAGGACAUCCUAAUGGUGCAGCCGCUAUUAAGGGUUC
rnacentral:rRNA from 1 species